rnacentral:rRNA from 1 species
UACGUAGGGGGCAAGCGUUGUCCGGAAUCAUUGGGCGUAAAGCGCGCGUAGGCGGCCCGGUAAGUCCGCUGUAAAAGUCCAGGGCUCAACCCUGGAAAGCCGGUGGAUACUGUCGGGCUAGAGUCCGGAAGAGGCGAGUGGAAUUCCUGGUGUAGCGGUGGAAUGCGCAGAUAUCAGGAGGAACACCGGUGGCGAAGGCGGCCUUCUGGACGGCGACUGACGCUGAGACGCGAAAGCGUGGGGAGCAAACAGG